AUACGAAGGGCCCGAGCGUUGCGCGGAAUCAUUGGGCUUAAAGCGUGCGUAGGCGGGCGCGCAAGCACCUUGUGAAAUCCCUCGGCUCAACCGAGGAACUGCUUGGUGAACUGCGUGCCUUGAGGCAAGUAGGGGCUGUCGGAACGAUAGGUGGAGCGGUGAAAUGCGUUGAUAUCUAUCGGAACGCCGAAGGCGAAGGCAGACAGCUGGGCUUGUUCUGACGCUCAGGCACGAAAGCGUGGGGAGCGAACGGGAUUAGAUACCCCGGUAGUCC
rnacentral:rRNA from 1 species